rnacentral:rRNA from 1 species
UACGGAGGGUGCAAGCGUUAUCCGGAUUCACUGGGUUUAAAGGGUGCGUAGGCGGGCAGGUAAGUCCGUGGUGAAAUCUCCGAGCUUAACUCGGAAACUGCCAUGGAUACUAUUUGUCUUGAAUGUUGUGGAGGUGAGCGGAAUAUGUCAUGUAGCGGUGAAAUGCUUAGAUAUGACAUAGAACACCGAUUGCGAAGGCAGCUCGCUACGCCUAUAUUGACUCUGAGGCACGAAAGCGUGGGGAUCAAACAGG